rnacentral:tRNA from 1 species
AAGCUCUGGGGUGUCAGCACGUGAGGUUGCAAACCUUAAGAAGCAGAUAAUAUUCUGCCGGGG